GCUGAAUCUUCUCACUAGUACCAACGGAAAGUCUGUACCUGAAAGGAAGCAAACCAAGAUGAGAAGAAAGAUCAGGCCACUGCCUUUUGUCUGCCAAAAUGCCUUACUAACAGCUGAAAUAGCUGGUCAUUCCCAAAUGACCUGCGGAAGCCGCCUCCCAAAUGACAAGCGCACCAGAACAUGGAUCCAGCCUCGGAGGCCUGAGGGGAGGCCUGAGGAGAGGCCCUCGAGUGUCAGGGUCUUGCUAUGUGGUGCAUGAUGGCUCCAAACUUGAAUCCUCCUGCCUACCAUGGCCACCUGGAACAAAGCUUUAAACAGCAAGACGGGAUUGCUAAAUAAAUUAAGGGAUCAGAUUUAUACUACUUCAUUCUUGUUUUUUGCUUCAAGAAUAAAGGUUUGAGCUGCGUAUGGUUGCACCACCUAUAGUCCUUAUCGCUCAGGAGACGGAGGCAGAAGGAUAACCGGAAGUUCCAGGCCAGCAUGAACUACAUUACUGAGACCCUGCCUGGCUGAAAAAGCUCACGUUCACUUUCUAACAUUCCCUAACCCCGAAGUGUGUGACACUGACGUCCUCCACAGCGUCUUGGCUAACAACUGAUGCAGAUUACCUCUGUGCACAAACAAGUGAAUCUCGGUCAGGAUGUCAUGUAAUGCCAGCCCCUUCAGAGUCUUCAACUCCAUGAUAUCUAGAGAGGAGUUAAGGCAAAGGAACAAGUCCCAGAGCAAACAGACUGCAGAGAAGUUUUAAUCUAAACCCGGGAGAGUGAUUAUAAAACAGGGCGUUUAAUUACAACGUAGCUGUUUCUCCUUCAAGUUUCAUAUUAGGCUCCAAUUGUCACUUUUUUAAUGUUUUACCUUCAGUAAGGGCUUUCUAGAAGGUACAGUAGUACCUCCUUCUAAGGAAGAACACAGACAAAUGCUGUGUCUCAAAUGGCUUCCUGUCACCAAUUUUAUGGCGAAGUAACAGUUAACAACAACCACGUUAAAAUUACUCCAUCUUCCACCUGUGAGCCAAGUUGUUUUAAGCCUUACACAGGCCAAAGGCAGCGAGGCAGAACUUUUGGGGUGUUAAAAAUAAGUACCCACCCUACCCAAGACCCCGAUUUCUGUAACAAGCUGACCGAAGCCACAAGCAGCCAGCCAGCCGUCCUUGGGGAGCGGGGUGAAGGUGCUGGACUCGAAAAGGAUACUUCUGU